rnacentral:rRNA from 1 species
UACGUAGGGGGCUAGCGUUGCUCGGAAUCACUGGGCGUAAAGGGUGCGUAGGCGGGCCUUUAAGUCCGGGGUGAAAUCCUGGAGCUCAACUCCAGAACUGCCUUUGAUACUGAGGAUCUUGAGUUCGGGAGAGGUGAGUGGAACUGCGAGUGUAGAGGUGAAAUUCGUAGAUAUUCGCAAGAACACCAGUGGCGAAGGCGGCUCACUGGCCCGAUACUGACGCUGAGGCACGAAAGCGUGGGGAGCAAACAGG